AGCUUUAAGUGGUGGAGAAUGAGUGAGAAUGGAGCAUUCAUAUCCUCACUCUGAUUAUUUUGGACGUAAGACGAUUGGCUUGUUGUCUAGAAUAUUCACCUCCACCCCUAGACUUUAGUGCAAUCUAAUCACAAAUAUUAUUUUCAUAAACCCUUGUUUAAGGUAAAAUCAACACAACCCAUCAAACCUAAUUUUUGUGCCUUAGGGCACCACUCCGAAAACCAUUUUCUCAAAGGUAAAUUCAACCAACA
rnacentral:lncRNA from 1 species